rnacentral:rRNA from 1 species
UACGAACUGUACGACCGUUCUUCGGAAUUACUGGGCUUAAAGGGUGCGUAGGCUGCGCGGCAAGUUGGGUGUGAAAUCCCUCGGCUCAACCGAGGAACUGCGCCCAAAACUACCGUGCUCGAGGGAGACAGAGGUGAGCGGAACUUAGGGUGGAGCGGUGAAAUGCGUUGAUAUCCUAAGGAACACCCGUGGCGAAAGCGGCUCACGGGGUCUCGUCUGACGCUGAGGCACGAAAGCUAGGGUAGCGAACGGG